rnacentral:lncRNA from 1 species
UCAGAGCAGUACUUCUUGAAAUUUUCAACAUUUUGGAGAACAUAGAACAAUACCUUUCCAUACACCAUCAUCCUGAAAGUUGAAUGGUACAUCAAUGUACAUUUUUCCUUUUUUUUUGGUGGAACGUACAUCGAUGUACAUUUAAGGAGACAAAUGACCUUCUACCCCACACACUAGUUCCACCAAAUCUGUGGACAUAAUAGUGUUAUUACAUUAAACUCUACCGUCCUCCACCUCCGGUAGAAGAACAAACACAUUCAAAGGAUCAUCCAAAAAUCCAUUUUCUACUGCUGACGAGAGCAAUUUAAGCCACUUCCCUCGUUUGAAACAUUGGCAGAGUCACCGGUAGACAUCCAGAAGACACGAGGGAAGCUCCCCGCGAUCGCCGGACGGGGAACGACACCUUGGUAUUGCAGGGGAGGUCCUUCGGGAGGCCGCCGGAUUGGUGCAAGGCACAGCUGCAGUUGCGGUGGUAUGGCCGCCGCCGGACCUCGGUGUCGAAGGCGGCGAUGCAUCCUUCGAAGACGCUCUGCAGCAUCCCCUGAGCUGCUGCAGCGGCCAUCGGAGCACCCGAAUCGGAAGAAGAAGGAGGCUUCUUUAAUUUGUCUCCCUCUUGUAUUCUUCUUUCUCCAGCGAACGAGAAUAUAGAGGAAGAAAGAGUCGCUGGGGGACAACGAAGGUGAUUUCGUGGGGC